rnacentral:lncRNA from 1 species
UUUAUUCACACAUUUUCUUGCCAGUUAAUGGUUAUCUCUGUUAUAGUAAGAUACACUAGAGCAGAAAUAUAGACAAGCAAAGGAGUCUGGCCCCAUCACCAUAAUGGAUUACUAUACUUGUCUGCUUUGCUUGACUCUUUUACAAAUUUACACAGCACUAAGGAUAUGGUACAAGGGUAGAGCAAGACUGCACAGAAAUGACAGAGGCCAGAGGAGCCCCUUACAUCCGCUGAGGAGACUGCACUUCAGUAGACUACUGAGUCAGGGAAGCCACAGUAAAGCUUUAGAGGUUCCUACCCUAGGCUGUGAGGGAGACCCCUUCUGGGAGAGGGGUGGUGAGAGCUCAAGUAAUAUUAACCAAAGUAACAAAAUGCUCAUGAAUAUUUACAAUACACAUGAAACUUACUUAUACCUGUGGAAAACUGCCUUUGUGCUGCUUAUAGUAAAUCAAACAAAUCAUCCCUCCCUCAGUUCUGCAACAGCCACCAAACAGCUGUGUGAUGUUGAGCAAGCAACUUCACUUUUCCAAGUCUUAGAUUUCUCAUAUGUAAUAUAAUAUUUGUCUUGCAAGGUGUUUUAAGGAAUAGAUGAGGUAACAUGCAAAGCAUUUAACCCAGUACCUGAUACAUACAGUACAAGGAGUUCAAAAAUAUUAAUUCUCCUUUCUAUCUCUGUCCUUUCUAGUACUAUCACGAACUUUGUCUUUGAUCAUCAUCACAAUCAUCAACAACAAAAACCUUGUUUCUCUUCUCCCGCUCUCAUUCUCUUUCACUCCCCUACCUACCUGAACAUUUAUUGAGCUGCUACAAAGUCUCAGCCAAUGUGCUAGACCCUUGGGAAUACAGGGAUAAAUAAGUUGCCAUCCUUUCCCCUAGUACAUACAUUCUAGUGAGGAAGCAGACAAAUAAAUGUACUAUUAUUAUUCCUAAUGUGUGAAAAGUGGGUAUAGAGGCAGCACAGAGAAAUGGCACCUAAACUUUGUUGUAGGAUCUGGGAGUGUUUGUGGAGGCAUUCCAAAGGAGUUUAGUCUCAGGGGUUGAGCAAGUGUUACCCAGAUGUGGUGGUGUGGGAUGUGGAGAAGAGUUGGGUUGGGAAUGUGAGAGAAUUCCUGGUGGAGAACAGCACAUGUACAGAUGGGGUGAGAACAGCAUACGUACAGGUAGGGGUAAGCUGGUGCUAUAUGAGAAAGCAUGGAAUAAGUUAUUAAGUUUGACCUGCUUGGGAACUGAGGGGCAGGUGUGAGGGAUGAAGCAGGAGUAGGUAGGGGCUAGAUCACAAAAGAUCUAUGCCAGUGUUUCUCACAGUGUGAUUCCCAGCCCAGUAGCAUGAUAUCACUUGGGAUCUUGUUAGAAAUACAAAUUCUUAUACAUCACCCUGGACUAGACCACCUGAAUAAGAAAAGUUGGGCAUGAGGCCUACAAAUUUUUAAAAAAGUCAUACAGGUGAUUGCAAUGCAUGCUAAAGUUUGAGAAACACUCUUUGCUGUGGUUUGAAUAUUUGUGUCCUUCCAAAAUUCAUGUAGAAACCAUCUCCAAUGUUAUAGUAUUAAGAGGAGGGACCCUUGGGAGCUGAUCAGAUCAUGAAGUCUCCUUUCUUAUAAAGGGGAUUAAAAGCCUUGGCCCUUUUACCCUUUGUCCAUGUAAGGACACAGUGUUGGAAGCAGGGACUGGGUUCUCACCAGAAACAGAACCUGCCAGCCUCUUGGUCUUGGACUUCUCAGCCUCCACAAUUGUGAGAAAUAAGUUUCUGUUGUUUAUAAGUUAACCAGUCUCAGGUAUUUUGUAAUGGCAGCACAAAGGGGCUAAGAAACUGUUCUAUGCCCUAACAAGAAAUGUGGUCACUUUCCUGAAGGAAAUGGGGAUAUAUAUAAAGAUGUUAUAUAAGACUCGUAAUAUUUAUUUGGAAGGCUUGCUCUGCAAGCAAGGUGGAAGAGCAACAUGAAGGAAGCGUGGUGGAGGUGAGAGGACUGGAGGUUAAGUUGGUAGGGAGAUACAGGAAAGAAGCUUAUGACACUUGAGUUAAAAUGUAGCAUCCUUCCUAUGUGUAGGGCUCAUAAAAAUGUAUAGUCUAAGAUAGAACACAGAAUACUCUAUGAAUCCUGCCCACAAGGUGUUGGUAAUCUAGAUUCACUUUUUUUUUCUGAUAAUGCCAUCCAUAUGUAUGGAGCGUCUACUACUGUAUGCCAGAGUGACUCUGGAAUCGGUUUGGUUGAUCUAGACAAGACCAUAAGGAGAGUCCCCUUACUACCUCUUCUCCAGGGGAGGGAUUCAAGUUGAACUAGUACUUCAGAGACUGUUUAGUAAUAUCAUGCAUGAAAGGUGAUGGUUAGGACAGAAAAAUAAAUGGAUUGCAUCAUAAUUCCUCAGGUUCUCCAAAUAUGUGGUGGUCUCAAACCAUGUGAAUUGGUCUGCACAUCCUGUUUGGGUUGCGUGUCAGCAGUUGAGAUCUGAGCCUUAUUUGUAACAGUGAAACAGUGAGAGACCUGCCCACUGAAAGCUGUUUUUCAGCUAGGAAUAGAAAAGGGCCAGGCUAGACUCCUCUUUCUGCUGGAUCUUGCUUCUUCUCAGCAAUAGAAGUAGACCUGCCUUCCUAGCUGUAGAGAAAAGGUGCCGGUAGGCGGGCAGGUGAGCCUGUGGAUAAUCCUGGAGUAAAGGUUCAAUAGACCUUCAAGUCUAUCCUACAGGAUUCGGAGUGAGGGGAGAGAAAAG